GCCUAUGGUGUGACCACCCUGAGAACACCUGAUCUUGUCCAAUCUCAAAGGCUAAGCAGGGUCUGGCUUGGGUCUUGUCUAAGGUUAUAUGAC
rnacentral:rRNA from 14 species